rnacentral:lncRNA from 1 species
UUUUUUGUUAUCUUUUAUAUAACUCAAAACUUUAAUAUAAUGCUUAUGAGAUUUUUUUAAAACUUUUGUUUUUUCAGACGAGGUUCGCGUACUCCUAAGACUAGUUGAAGAAAUAACCUAGUACUGAGCAUCUGCAAUUAUUCUUGCCAUCCAGGGAAUGGAAGAAAAAAAAGAUGCAAGACGCACAUUCCAGCUCCGUCUAGUACCACUUAAGUUCUCAUUCAGUCACAUCAAAAUAGUAAACAGUUUUAAUAUUCAGAAGAAGAGAAAAGACAAAUACUGUUAACUACAUCCGUUUGAAAUCUCCUAUAUCGCAAAGUUACAGAACUCGACGAACAUUGGGUGCAUACAGCAUGAAGAUUAGAUCAUCUGACCAGCUCAACAUAAUAGAAACCGCCUUAGCCCAGUGAUACUUGUAACACCACCAUUCACGCAUGCAGGAGAAGAUAUGACUAGUUGACCUUUACAGUAAGCCCU